rnacentral:rRNA from 1 species
UACGGGGGGAGCAAGCGUUGUUCGGAUUUACUGGGCGUAAAGGGCGCGUAGGCGGCCACCGCAAGUCAAUUGUGAAAUCUCCGGGCUUAACUCGGAAAGGUCAACUGAUACUGCGGGGCUAGAGUGCGGAGGGGGCAACUGGAAUUCUCGGUGUAGCGGUGAAAUGCGUAGAUAUCGAGAGGAACACCUGCGGCGAAGGCGGGUUGCUGGGCCGACACUGACGCUGAUGCGCGAAAGCCAGGGGAGCGAACGGG